UUGGGAUAGCUCAGUUGGGAGACCAUGGGACUCUUAAUUUUGAAGUUGUGGGUUCGAGACCUACAGCGGGCAAAA